rnacentral:rRNA from 1 species
GAUGAACGCUGGCGGCGUGCCUAAUACAUGCAAGUCGAGCGAACAGACGAGGAGCUUGCUCCUCUGACGUUAGCGGCGGACGGGUGAGUAACACGUGGCUAACCUACCUAUAAGACUGGGAUAACUUCUGGAAACCGGAGCUAAUACCGGAUAAUAUAUUGAACCGCAUGGUUCAAUAGUGAAAGACGGUUUUGCUGUCACUUAUAGAUGGAUCCGCGCCGCACUAGCUAGUUGGUAAGGUAACGGCUUACCAAGGCAACGAUGCGUAGCCGACCUGAGAGGGUGAACGGCCACACUGGAACUGAGAAACGGUCCAGACUCCAACGGGAGGCAGCAGUAGGGAAUGUGGAGUAAUGGGCGAAGGCUGGACGGAGCAACGCCGAGUGAGUGAUGAAGGUCUCCGGAUCGUGAAACUAUGCUAUUAGGGAAGAACAAAUGUGUAAGUAGCUAUGCACGUCUUGACGGUAGUUGUGCAGAAAGCCGCGGCUAACUACGUG